GGAAUUUUGCUCAAUGGGGGAAACCCUGAAGCAGCGCCGCCGCGUGAGGGAUGAAGGCCUUCGGGUUGUAAACCUCUCUUCUCAGGGACGAUGAUGACGGUACCUGAGGAAUAAGCCACGGCUAACUACGUGCCAGCAGCCGCGGUAAUACGUAGGUGGCAAGCGUUGUCCGGAUUUACUGGGCGUAAAGAGCGCGCAGGCGGUCGAGUAAGUCGAAUGUGAAAGCCCCCGGCUCAACCGGGGAUCGUCAUUCGAUACUGUUCGACUUGAAGAUGGGAGAGGGAAGCGGAAUUUCAGGUGUAGUGGUGAAAUGCGUAGAUAUCUGAAGGAACACCAGUGGCGAAGGCGGCUUUCUGGCCCACUCUUGACGCUGAGGCGCGAAAGCUAGGGGAGCGAACG
rnacentral:rRNA from 1 species